rnacentral:rRNA from 1 species
AUGGAUGUGGACUUUGGCGACAAUGAUGCUGGUUUUUCUACCGAGGCAUACACGGCAAAGAAUGGUGACAUAUUCAUUUUGUCUAGCUUGAAACCUGAAGCUGCAGAGGACUUCAAUCGCUAUGGUGUCACAUAUUGCUUGGCAAUGGUUACUGAGGUUUCUUUGGAUGAUGAAUACCAGAAGGGUUUCAGAGUUAAAGUCGCAAAGGAUAUUGGUUUGGAAGAACAAGACUUAAGUAAAUUCAGACAUGCAAUAUUUAUCAGUAAUAUCACGACAAGCAUACGGAUAUGGAAAGCACUUUCCUUUGACACACACAUGAAUGACAAUUUCAUAGUAAUCAAGUCGUUGUUAGCCCCAACAAAUUUGGGUGAUGAUGUAUGUGGUAUCUGCGUUGAAGAGGAUGGGGGCUGUUUGCCUAAUUUGACAGAGCAAUUACUUUCGAUUAACCUUAAUCAAUCACAAGUGGAUGCUAUUGAAUCUGUGAUCUCAGCUGUACGAUGUAGGCAUAUGAACCUCUUGAAGCUUAUAUGGGGUCCACCAGGUACUGGAAAGACCAAGACUGUUAGUGCUUUACUAUGGGCUUUGGCGUGUAUGAAAUGCAGAACUCUUACUUGUGCCCCCACUAAUGUUGCUAUCGUUGGAGUUUGCACUCGUUUCCUUCAAAACUUGAAGGAUUUCAACCAGCACAUUGACGAAAACAGUCUACCGUUGUCUCUUGGAGAUGUCGUGCUGUUUGGGAACAAGCAGAGAAUGGACAUCACCGAGGAUCUUCAGGAAGUUUUCUUGGAUUUUCGUGUGGACGAACUUCUUGAGUGCUUUUCAUUUUUGUCUGGAUGGAGGUACAGAAUAGCUUCAAUGGUAUCCUUUUUUGAUGACUGUGUGUCACGUUACGAUAUGCUUCUUGAGGAUGAAGAAAAGAGUGAUCCUGCGAGCUUUCUGGACUUCAUAAAGAAGCAGUUUGAUGUGACAGCAGCAGCUCUGAAAAGAUGCAUCGUGAAGUUGUGGGUUCACCUUCCUGGAAGGUGCUUUUCUCGCAAUAGUGCCAUAAAUAUAUCUACGUUGCUUAAUAUGCUGGGAAAAUUUGGCACCCUUCUGUGCGACGUAGACUUGACAGACGAGGGCUUGAAAAGGGUCCUUCGUUGUUUGUCAACUGAAAACUCUGUUUGUGCACAGCCUAUAUCUUUUAUUGAGAAAGAACUGGAUGGAGCAAGGUGUACAUGCCUUAAAUUGCUUAAAGAUCUACAACACUCUCUUAAUUUACCCACUGGAGUAGACAAAAACUGGCUCCAGAGCUACUGCAUACGUAAUGCUACACUUCUGUUCUGUACUACUUCUAGCUCUUAUCUGCUGCAUUACAUGGAGAUUGCACCCCUCGACGUCUUAAUUGUUGACGAGGCUGCUCAGGUGCGGGAGUGUGAGUUGGUGAUCCCACUACGUUUGCAUCGGUUGAAGCAUGUUGUUUUGGUAGGAGAUGACUGUCAGCUGAGUGCAAUAGUUAAAAGUCAAGUAUGCAGAGAAGCUGGCUUCAGUACAAGUCUUUUUGUGAGAUUGGUUACUCUGAAAUUCGAUAAACAUUUGCUGAAUAUACAGUAUCGUAUGAAUCCUUGUGUUAGCCAGUUUCCAAAUGCUCAGUUUUAUGAGAGGAAGAUUUUAGAUGGUUCAAAUGUCUUGUCUCCUAGCUAUAACAAGGAUUAUGCAUGCCUCCCUUUCGGCAGCUACACUUUUAUAAAUGUCACGGAUGGAAGGGAAGACAAAGAAAGCACCGGAAACAGUCGAAGAAACAUGGUUGAAGUUGCUGUUGUGCUGCACCUGAUCCAAACCAUUUUUAAAUGUUGGAAAAUUUCAGGCAAAGGGCUCAGCAUUGGUGUGGUCUCUCCAUAUAGUUCUCAAGUUGAUGCAAUUAAAGGCAGACUUGGCAAAAAAUACGACACAUGUGAUGGCUUUCAUGUGCGGGUCAAGUCCAUUGAUGGUUUCCAAGGAGAAGAGGAUGAUAUUAUAAUACUAUCAACGGUUAGAUCCAACGGGAACGGAGUUGUUGGAUUUCUUGCUGAUAACGGAAGAACAAACGUUGCUCUUACCAGAGCAAAGCACUGUCUUUGGAUUGUUGGGAAUGCUCAUACACUGUAUAAAAGUGGAACUGUCUGGACAGACCUUGUUGCUGAUGCUCAAAGACGUAAAUGUGUUUUCAAUGCCCGUAAUGAUGCGGCCAUAUGUAAGUUGGUUUUGCAAGUAAAGCAAGAGCUUGAUGAACUUGAUGAUCUUCUUAAUGCUGAUUCGGCGGUUUUCAACAAUGCCAAAUGGAAGGUCAUUAUUAGCGACGAGUUUAGUAAGUCUUUCACCAAACUGAAGUUGUCACAGCUCAGGAGGGAAGUACUCCAAAAGCUUAUCAAACUUGGCAGUGGUUGGAGGACAACAGUUAGAAACUUAGAUAUACCUGGUGUUUCCAAUCAUGCAAAAGUAUACAAGAUCAGGGACCUUUAUCUUAUUUGGAACAUUGACAUGGAGAAAAGGGAAAGAAAGUAUAUCCAGAUAAUAAAAAUUUGGGACCUACUCUCACAACAACAUGUUGCAAGAACAGUUCAACGUCUCGAGGUUGUUUUUUCCAUGUACACAGAUGAUUACCUGGAUCAUUGCAGAAGAGUGCAGACACUUGGGAAACUGGAGGUUCCUAUGGUUUGGAAUGUUGAGCAUGAUAUUAUUCGCUUUAAGAAGGAUUGCAGAAUUGAUGCUCAGGAAGAGCAUGAUGUCGUGGAUGCAUCACAUGCCAUGGAAAAUUCAAAAGUUAGCGAAAGCUUCUUGCUUAUGAAAUUCUACUCGUUAUCCACUGGAGUGGCAAAACAUUUGCUGACAGCUUCUGAUGGUUCGGAAAUCGAUAUCCCCUUUGAACUGACUGAUGAAGAAAAGAUGAUAAUCCAAUUCCCGCUCACUAGUUUUAUACUUGGGAGGUCAGGCACUGGAAAAACCACUGUAUUGACAAUGAAACUGUAUCGAAGAGAGCAACAGUCAUUGAUUGCCUCCCAGGGUCUAAAUUUGGAUGGUGAUGAUUUAUAUGGGAUGGAUGACAAAAAUAUUAUGGCACUGAACGACAUAGGAGAAAGUUUUGUGAAACAAGUGUUUAUAACUGUAAGCCCAAAGCUGUGUUCAGCCAUAAAUAAUCACAUUUCUGGACUUAAAAGGUUUGUUUGUGGUGAUGUCUCUAAUCAGCCUAGCAUUCUUCAUAUGCACGCCAUCUUUGAUGACCAGGAAGAGUUCACAGAAAUACCUGAGAGUUUUAGCAAUCUACCUCAUGAGCACUAUCCUCUUAUUAUAACAUAUCGAAAGUUCUUGAUGAUGCUUGAUGGAACAUGCCAGACGUCAUUUUUUGAUGUGUUCUAUGGCGAACUGAAGUCUAGUGUUGAUAGAGGGUAUUCAAAAUCUCAUGCGCUGGAAACGUCUAUUGAAUUAAAGGAAGUUACCUAUGAGAAAUUUGCUGCUUCGUAUUGGCCUCGUUUUAAUGCAGACCUGACCAAGAACCUUGAUGCAUCCACUGUCUUCACUGAAAUAAUUUCUCAUAUAAAGGGUAGAUAUCAAGCAAGCAUGCCUUACACCGGCAAUCUUGGAAGACAAGAUUAUGUGAUGCUCUCAGAUAAAAGAUUUUCAUCUCUGAACAGCGAGAAGAGAGAUAGGAUUUAUAAUAUUUAUGUUGAUUAUGAGAAUAUGAAAUCCACUGCCAGAGAGUUUGAUUUGUCAGAUUUCGUCAAUCGUCUUCACAUCAAUCUUGUAUCCGAGGGCUACAAAGGAGAUCUGGUGGAUUUUGUUUACAUAGAUGAGGUGCAGGAUCUAACCAUGACACAGAUAGCACUUCUUAAGUAUGUCUGCAGGAACUUCAAGGAAGGCUUUCUUUUUGCUGGUGACACGGCCCAGACUAUAGCAAGGGGUAUCGAUUUCAGGUUUGAAGAUAUCCGUUCACUUUUUUAUACUGCAUUUCUCUCAGAAACUGAAAUGUUUAAUCAAGGACUUCGACAUGGAAAACAAGUCCAACUCUCUGAUAUGUUCCAACUGUCUCAGAAUUUCCGCACGCACUGUGGCAUCCUUCACAUGGCACAAAGUAUCAUGAGCCUUCUGUACUUCUUUUUCCCGUCAAGUGUUGACAAGCUUAAUCCAGAGACUGGACUUGUAUAUGGAGAAGCUCCCGUGCUGCUGGAAUCUGAUAAUGAUGAAAAUGCAAUUAUGACUAUAUUUGGAGAAACCAAAAGUAAGCAUGGUAACAUGCAUGGGUUUGGUGCUGAGCAAGUCAUAUUAGUUCGUGAUGAUGCUACCAAAAAACAAAUUGUUGAUCUUGUUGGUAAACAGGCUCUUGUUUUGACUAUUGUUGAAUGUAAGGGCCUUGAGUUCCAGGAUGUGCUGUUGUACAACUUUUUUGGCUCGUCACCCUUGAAAAACAAAUGGAGAGUUCUGUACGGCUACAUGAAAGAUAGAGAUAUUAUAGCACAAUCUGAGGAGAUCUCUCAUCCGGGUUUCGACAGAAGCAAGCAUCAUCUUCUAUGCUCAGAGCUGAAGCAACUCUAUGUUGCAAUCACACGCACGAGGCAAAGACUCUGGAUAUGUGAGAAUACAGAUGAUUACUGUCGACCGAUGUUUGACUAUUGGAAGAAGUUGUGUCUUGUAGAGGUUAGAUUACUUGAUCCUUCCCUCAUUCAAGCAAUGCAGACAGGAAGUAGUACAGAUGAUUGGAGGCUACGGGGAAUCAAGUUAUUCAACGAGAGGCAAUUUGAAAUGGCUACGAUGUGUUUUGAAAAAGCUGGUGAUGCAUACAAAGAGAAGUGGGCAAGAGCUGCCGGACUUGUAGCAAUUGCUGAACGUGCCACAUCCUCAAAAUUGGAGAAUGGCAAGGCUCCAAUGCAAACAGCAUCAGAGAUUUUUGAGUCCAUAGGCAUGCAUGAGAAAGCUGCUAUGUGCUAUAUGAAAUUAGGUGACCACAAAAAAGCAUCAGAGAUUUAUGAGUCCAUAGGCAUGCAUGAGAAAGCUGCUACGUGCUAUAUCAAAUUAGGUGACUACAAGAAAGCAGGUAUGGUCUACAUGCAAAAAUGUGGUGCUUCCUGGCUUGAGGAUGCUGGUAUCUGUUUUGCUAGGGCUGAAUGCUGGUCGGAGGCAGCUGAAGUGUUCUUCAAAGCUAAAUGUUACCCCGAGUGUUUCUCAAUGUGCUCGAAAGGAAAACUAUUCAAUCUUGGCUUGCAGUUCCUGCAGCAGUUGGAGGAGGAACAUUUGCUUCAGAAUUCAAAAUCCUUAGAGGUUUCUGCUAUUAGAAAGACGUAUCUUGAAAAUUGUGCUCAGCAUUAUUCUGAGUGUGGUGACAUAAAGCGUAUGAUGCCUUUUGUUAAGGCUUUCAGUUCUAUGGAUCAUGUACGGGCAUUCUUGAAGUCUAAGUUUCUUCUUGAAGAACUGUUUAGCCUAGAGGUGGAUAUGGGUAAUUUCCUUGAAGCUUCAGAAAUAGCAAAGCAUAAAGGAGAUGUCUUACUUGAGGUAGACAUGCUUGAGAAGGCAGAUUUGUUUGAGGAUGCAACACGGCUUCUCCUCCUCCAUAUCAUUGUAGAUUCUUUUUGGUCUUCAAAUAGCAGAGGGUGGCCUCCUAAAAGAUAUCCAGAGAAGGAGCAAAUGCUUGCAAAAACCAAAGAGAUGGCAAAAAAGGUCUCUGAGUGCUUCUACUGCCUUGUUUGCCUGCAAGCUGAUGCACUGUCAGACAUGAACAAGUCUCUUGCCAGUUUAAAUUGCACUUUUCUUGAAAGCAGAAAAUGUGGUAACUUCUUUGUUGAAUUCAUCACUUCCCGUUCGAUUCUUGAUGUCCACCUUCAGUCUCGAGCCUCUGGAUACAAUUUGGAAUUAGGGCCAGGAUCUGAAGAUGAAAGUAGCUGUAAUGAUAUGGUGACUCAUAACCAGAUAUCACCCCAAACCCUAGCGUAUGCCUGGAAUCACUGGAAGUCAAUCGUAAUGAAAGUACUAUCUCAUCUUCGCCACACUGAUGGUCCAGAAUUAAAUGAAUACGAAGAUCUUUGCGUUAAGUACUUUGGGUUGAGGAAAGAUGGUGCCCGAUACUUUGUGCUUAACAUGGACUCAAGUUGGCUCUCUAGCACAAGCAGAAAUUCUUUGCAGCAAGAUGGCAACAGAUGUUGGCUGGAUGUCCUUCAGUAUCAUUCAUGUGCCCAGUCUUUCUUGAUGAAUGAGUUGUCUUCUGUUGGUUUCAGUGUACUUAAGAAGUUGGAGUCCAUUGCUCAAAUUUCUCCAAAGCCAUCAUCUUCAUAUGCCCUGGUGAGAACUAUCCUUAUUGUAAAAGAGAUAGCUAACUUUUUGGAAGAACCAGAGUUCAGUAUGCCGAAAAGUACAAUGAAGUUAAGAAGCUUCUCUGUUCUCUGGGAGCGUCGCUUCUUCGAGUUAAUUUUUCUUGUCUGGAGAGAUGGGGCAAGGAGGAGCCUCUUGCAUAUACUUGACUCACCAGCUUCGCAUGGGCUGAUUGCUGAUUCCCUUGGUGCAAAUCUUCAACCAACAAAUAAAAAUUUAACUCAUGGGCAUCUUGGGAGGACAACCAUACUUCUGCUCCAUGCAGCACGAUUGGAUGAUGGACUGAUUUCAAGGCUGCUACAGUACCUAGACAAUGAUUCUGAGUGGGCAGAUUUUUAUCGAUGUUUGAAGAUAUUUCUUGAUACUGGUGUUCUUACCUCCUUGAUCUCGAACUUUAGGCUCGCCCUUGAUUUUACCUUCAAUUUUGUGACGUGGAGGGAUGAACUGGACUACAUAUCUCCAAUAUGCUAUGUGGGUCUGAUGGAGUGCCUUGGUUUUUUGUCUUCAGCACACCUUCUACAGAAAGGUUGUAUGUACUGCACGAAAUCUCUGUUGGUCAAUAUGCUGGAAUGCCGUACCAGCAAAGUUUACCUUGACACCUGCCUGGCAGCUACUUCAAGACCAGAUUGCGAUCUUGAUCAUACGGCGUCCGAAUCAGGCCAUUCAGGCCAUUUCAUAUUAGAGACCAUUAUGACUAUCUUGACAGAGAAGAAAAUGCUUCAGGAGUGGGUCCAGAAGACUUCAACUCCUAGUUGUUCAUACAAAGCAGUCCUCCUGAGAUUAGUUGUCACACUUUAUCCGCUGAUCCUAACUCAUGAUCUGGAGAUUUCCCAUUAUAAGCUCACAAAUACUCUUCUGGAAUGUGGAGUCUUUAAGGAUUUACCUCUGGAGUUCUCUCAGAAGAUUGUACAUGCUUUACGAACGAGGUCUCGCAAACCAAGCAACUUCAUAAGAGUGGUUGCUGAUGCACUUGCUGCAAUCGGAGAUCGUCUGGUAGUUAUGGGUUCACCUGAAGGCGCAGCAAUCUGUGAAAACAUAAACGCUUAUAUGAUUAGCACAGAGGAUUUGAGUGAUGUUCACAAGGUAAUGGCUCUUCUUUGUUCUGAAGAGGCAAGUUCUGUAAAGCAAGAUGCCACACUGCCAGAAAAAUCUGAUGGUAACAAAUUCUGCAAUGUUGCUGGAAACGUUCCGAAGAUUGUACAAGAUAAUAAGAUGGAGAAUAUGGGAGAGAUAGAUUCAAGUGAUGAGAGUACUGCCUUCUGGGAAAAGCUUGAUACUUUUCAAGUCAACAAGGAAGGCCAGAAAGAUGCAAGGUUUAUUGUUGAAUUCCUUAGGAGUGCCGUUCCAUGGCUGGCUGAUGCACAAUUGCUGGAAGAGGUCAGGCACAUCUGCAGCGAGUUCGAAGAACGUACUGCCAGGACGGAGAAGACAGCUUGUCUGACCGUGGAGGAGGAUCUAUUCUCAAUGUGGCAAGACGGUGAGAACAAACUGCAUACGAUUAUCAGCUAUCUGCGUUCCGCAAGGGCGUCCAUGAAAGAAGAUGAAAGGAGGAAUGAAGCUGCAGCCGGUGCCCAGCCGCAGACUGAUGGAGCGGGCGAGCGAACCAGGCGUUCAGACAAUGUUCCUGAUAGGGGAGGAAGCAACACGGUGGAACCGGUGAAGGAAGAAGCUGUGUCGGCCGCCGGCCCGGCCUCGCAGAAGGCGGCACAGAAGCAGAAGGGCAGGAAGAAAUCGAAGAAAUGUAAAGGCCGUGGCAGGAAGUGA